rnacentral:rRNA from 1 species
GAUGAACGCUGGCGGCGUGCCUAAUACAUGCAAGUCGAGCGAACGGACGAGAAGCUUGCUCCUCUGAUGUUAGCGGCGGACGGGUGAGUAACACGUGGAUAACCUACCUAUAAGACUGGGAUAACUUCGGGAAACCGUAGCUAAUACCGGAUAAUAUAUUGAACCGCAUGGUUCAAUAGUGAAAGACGGUCUUGCUGUCACUUAUAGAUGGAUCCGCGCUGCAUUAGCUAGUUGGUAAGGUAACGGCUUACCAAGGCAACGAUGCAUAGCCGACCUGAGAGGGUGAUCGGCCACACUGGAACUGAGACACGGUCCAGACUCCUACGGGAGGCAGCAGUAGGGAAUCUUCCGCAAUGGGCGAAAGCCUGACGGAGCAACGCCGCGUGAGUGAUGAAGGUCUUCGGAUCGUAAAACUCUGUUAUUAGGGAAGAACAAAUGUGUAAGUAACUGUGCACAUCUUGACGGUACCUAAUCAGAAAGCCACGGCUAACUACGUG